UCUCCCACUAUCUUCUUCUCUUUUCAAAUUUUUUUUUUUCUCACCAAAAAAAAAAAAAAAGUAAAUUAAAUGAAUCUACUCUCAGGGGUCUAAUUUCGUGGAGCUCUGAAACUCGAUGGCUGUUAUGGAGGAGAUUGGAGUCGAUAGUUCGGAUAUUGAAGUUGAUGACAUAAGGUGCGAUAACAUAGCGGAGAAGGAUGUGAGUGAUGAAGAGAUUGAGGCAGAAGAGCUGGAGAGGAGGAUGUGGAAGGACCGAAUCAAGCUCAAGAGAAUCAAGGAAAGGCAGAAGGUUGCAGCUCAGCAAGCUUCGGAUAAGCUGAAAGGGAAGCAGCCCACGGAUCAAGCUACACGGAAGAAGAUGUCGAGAGCUCAAGAUGGAAUUCUCAAGUACAUGUUGAAGCUCAUGGAAGUGUGCAAGGUUCGGGGGUUUGUGUACGGGAUCAUCCCGGAGAAGGGAAAACCGGUUAGUGGAUCAUCUGAUAACAUCAGGGCGUGGUGGAAGGAGAAGGUGAAGUUUGACAAGAAUGGUCCCGCUGCUAUAGCUAAGUACGAAGCGGAAUGUCGUGCCAGGGUGGAGGGAGUCGGUAAUCUGAUGGGGAACUCACAGAGCGUUCUGCAGGAUUUACAAGAUGCCACAUUGGGGUCGCUUUUAUCUUCUUUGAUGCAACAUUGUGACCCGCCUCAGAGGAAGUACCCGCUGGAAAAAGGCGUACCGCCACCGUGGUGGCCAACGGGGAACGAAGAAUGGUGGGACAAAAUGGAUUUGCCUACGGGUCUCACUCCACCCUACAAGAAACCGCAUGACUUGAAGAAAAUGUGGAAAGUCGGUGUUCUAACUGCUGUUAUAAAGCACAUGUCACCUGACAUUGCAAAGAUCAGGAAGUUAGUCCGACAAUCGAAGUGCUUGCAGGAUAAGAUGACUGCUAAGGAGAGCUCGAUUUGGUUGGGCGUACUAGAAAGAGAGGAAGCCCUAAUCCGGCAGCCAAGCGGUGACAAUGGAUCAUCUGGUAUAAGUGAGGCACCUACUAGAGGCCGUAGUGAAAAGAAGAGACCUUCAGUCAGUAGUGACAGUGAUUAUGAUGUUGAUGGCAUUGAUGAUGGCCCGAGCUCUGUUUCAUCGAGGGAUGAGAGUGGAAACCAGGUAUUGGAUGUUCAUCCUUCAAACAUUGUUCCCAAGUCUCGUCAAAUUGAAAGGCAAGGGAAUAAACGAUCCAAGAGGCAAAAGAGGGUAAAACCAACCCCUGCUGUUCAAGAGACCCCACCAUCUCUUAAUCUUAAUGAUAAGGAGCACGGUGAUGAGCCAGGUGAUCCUUUGCCUGACAUUAACAAUUCGAAUACGACAUUAGCUGUACACUUGAUGAAUGAAAACCAAAAAGAUGGGUCCCAACCAGUGACUCCUUUGGAAAAACGUGCUGAGGGCCAAUCCCAUUUACCAUCGGGUGACUCUGAUCAUUCCAUCAUUCCAUCUGCUAAUGAAGUGUCUACACAGACUGCAUUUGCUGGCAAAAGGUCUAGCGUUCAUCCAAUGCCUCAAAAUUCUGAGGCUGUCCAGUAUGAAUCAAGGUCACAACUUGGUGCUUCAGAUUGUGCCAUUCCCCAUCAAAUUCAAGAUAGUCAAAUAUUUAACGGUCAGCAGUUUUCAGGAACGGAUGAUAGACCAGGAAGUUCAAUGUUUCACUAUGGACCUCUAAUUCCAGAAAUGCAUUAUGAACCUCACAAGUCUGGGUCUCAAAAUUCCGCGCUGCAUCCUGAACCACAAAGUUCCGGUUACCAUCAUGGAUCUCAAUAUCCUGACUUGCACCAAUCCUCUCUCUAUCAAUACUACAAUCCAUCUACUGAUUUUGGGUCCUCUCGUGAUGAAGAUAGGUCUCGUUUAGAAUUUAAUGAUCUUCAGAUGAGGCCGGAUAAUUUUGGAGUCAAUUCAACAGUGGUUCAAAGUACAGGAAACGAUGUCAAUGAUCACCAUUAUGGAAAAGACCCGUUUCAGAAUGACCACGAUAGACCUGUUGAUGUGCCGCCAAUGAUGACAAUCACAGAUAACUUUGAACCUCCAGUUACUAGUGUGUCGCCAGAUUAUACAAGACUGAACAGCCCAAUAAGUUUCGGAAUUGAUGUGCCAAAUGCAUUUGAGACCGACGUUGAUAGUUUCCUUGAUGAGGACUUGAUGACAAUAAUGACAUUCUUUGCCUCUUAAGUAGUCAUUUUUAUUUAUAGAAUGUCCCGAGUGUGAGUGCAGCAUUCAUUUACUCCUUUACCUCUUCUUCUCUCUUAGAGUUAAUCUGAAGUAUCUUAUACAAAUGCCCGAAUGCAGGAGAUAGAGAAUGCUGAAUCUAUUCCUAGUGCCUAGUGGGAAUGAGCCAUUUUCUCAUAGAUUGAGGACCUUGACUGUAAGAGCAGUACCUUUCUUGAAUCUGCAAGCAGGGAAUAUAUAGUGUUACCUGAAGAACAUUUUGAAGGGCCUGCUGUUGUACAUGCUGAAGAUCUCGAUUCAAACCAUGAAUCGAGCUCUUUCAUGUGUUGUAUACGCGGGAAUUUCUGGCUUGCAUGUGUGAAAAAUGAAGGAUUGAAGAAAGGGGAUAUGGCAGAGAAUUCUCUGGUACUAAAACAGCAUUCUUGAAUCUUGAUGAUGAUGAUGACGAUGAUGAUCUCUAACAUAGCAGUCAUGUAGUUCAUAUUAUUACAAAGAUGUUUGCUUUUCACUGUUCCAACGUUAGAAGCAGACAAUCACUGGAAAAUUGUCUCACUAGAAGUCCUAAAUGUCGACAGUUUCCAUGAACUUGAUAGUGAGAGUUUUUGGACACCA